rnacentral:rRNA from 1 species
CAGUAGCCGCGGGAAUACCAGCACCUCGAGUGGUCAGGAGGUUUAUUGGGCCUAAAGCAUCCGUAGCCGGUUGCAUAAGUUUUCGGUUAAAUCUAUGCGCUUAACGUAUAGGCCGCCGAAAAUACUGUGCAGCUAGGGAGUGGGAGAGGUACACGGUACUCGAUAGGAAGGGGUAAAAUCCUUUGAUCUAUUGAUGACCACCUGUGGCGAAGGCGGUGUACCAGAACACGUUCGACGGUAAGGGAUGAAAGCUGGGGGAGCAAACCGGAUUAGAUACCCGCGUAGUCCCUGUCUCUAUACA